rnacentral:lncRNA from 1 species
UUUUGAUUGGGAGAAUAGGGUGGUUUCGAGAGAGAAGAGAGAAAAAAGAGUUUUGCAUAAUACGCCUACUCUUUCCUUGUAAGGCCAUGCCUGAAUUCCUUGCACAACCAGUGUUGUAGUGUUUAAGUUGUGAGUAAAGAAACUGCUAGCAGGCCUGGCCUGCCUUGAUCAAUGUAUGCAUAUAUUUAGUACUUAUUUAUGUAUUCAUUAAUGUAAUUUUUUCCACCCCAAGUCUAACGCUGCUGUUGCUUCUUGGAAUGUGAUUUAGCACAAGGAGUCAACUUUUCCCAGAAGUUCAUUCACCAAAUUAUUGUUUUUAGUUUCUAUCCAUGGAUUGAAUUUAGAGUUAUGUAGGUACAACUUCUUUUACAUUCUAGUUUUAGAAAAUGAAUGGAGACAUAGAUUAAGAGAUUUUGGCACAGCAGCAGUAGACGAGGUAGGAGCAGAGUCCAAUGACAGGGGACUACAGUCAAAUAAAACAACAAAAGUGAACAUAGCUUUAGAGAUUUUUUCUAUACCAUGGAAGAACAUUGAAAGAAAAUGCAUUGUUGAAAUUUUUUAAUCAUUUAAAUUAUUUAAAUUAUUUGCAUUCUUUGAUUUCCCCAUCCUAUUUCGAUGUAAUCCUUUCCUUAAUUUUGUUGCAUAACUGGUAUGGGAUUGUUUGGUUCCGCAUGGAACUCUAAUGUAGGAUCUUGUCUCCAGUCACCAGGCUCUUCAUCUGGACUUGAAAAGGGGAAAUAAUGCAUUGUUGUUGAACUUGCUUCCAAAUGUCUUUCUUUGUUUCCCCUCAGAUCUUUUUGCUGGGAUACCUGCUUGAAUCUGAGGUUUUUUGUAACUUAAAUGCAUUUUAGAUUUUUUCAAGGAGCUUCCCCAGUUUUGAGCAAUCUACAUGGCAUAGAUUGGGAAAUCAAACUGGAGGUAUUGACUUGUCAGAGAGAGAGUUUAUGCCUGAAAAGGACUCUGUUUUUAUGUCUUUUUUUUUUUUUUUUUCUUUUUUGGUGAAAGUUUUUAUGUUUUUAUGUCUUUUUUUUUGUGUGAAAGUUUUUUUAGCUUUCUGUUUAUCAGUUGUGGUAGCUUGGUUUGUUUCUCUUUUUCCUUCUCUAUUGGCCUGGGUUGCUGUUCUGUUUUCCUGGGGUUGUUUGGGCCAAUUGGGUGGUAUCUGAUUGUGAUUGUUGUUUGGCUUGGACAGGUAUUGAUCACAUUUCCUGUACUUCUCUGCAUUGAACUUGCUUCAUUUUUUAUCCUAUUAAUGUCUUAUACGGUUAGUGGCUUCUAUUUAUGCCUUGAGUUAAUAGCAUUGAGUAGUGACUAUCGCUUCAUUCUUAUUGGCCUCUAAACUACCACCUCUUUGAUUGAGCCUUGAGGGGAUUGAUUGUUAAAGGUCUUUCUUCUCUGUUUCAUAAUUUAUUUUCUUUAAUUUAACUUUUCUCUUACUGUAGUUCAUCCUCAAACUUAGAGAAAGAAAAUAAUAUAGUUUUUUGGAGUUUGAUUACUAUUUUAGUGUAAAAUUGUUCCGUAUUAAAUUAAUGUUUAUAAUUUUACUUGUGAGUAAGAGAAAAAUUGCUAUUUAAUUUGGGUAUAAAAAAAUAAAAUGGUGCCAACUAUGGCGAGGAAGACCAGUAUUUCCUCAUUGUAGGUCACUCGCAAUGUGUCAAUUUUAUAGCGUCAAAACUACAAAUUUCCUCGCCAAAAUAUGAGAAAGGGAUUGCUCACUGUAACACACAUUAAGCGACGAAUGUAUCUUUUGUCGCAGUACUCUUAUUUUUUCUGUUAUUCAUUUUGAAAAAUUGUUAAAAUAAAAUUAUUAAUGAUGAUAUUUUUACUUUAGCGAGGAAUUGUUUAACUCGUUGUUGGUCGAUUGUAAAUUUAUGGCGAGAAAUUAAAUGACAUGUAACGAGGAAAUAUAUCCUCGCUACAGAUUUUAAGCAAGGAAAAGUACAAGUUGUCACAAACACGUAUCAGCCAGGAACUGAGAAAUUUCCUCCUCAUAGGCUACUACGACGGGCCAUCAGCAAUGACUGGGAAUUAUUUCCUCGCGAAACAUGUACAACGAGGAAAUGCUAACUUGUAGCUAAGAAAUGUUUCCUAGCAAAAGAGCUUAUUUGUUGUAGUGAUUUAUCCUUCAGAUACCCCGUCAUUGAAGUUUUCAUGUUCCAUGAAUAGUACGUACUUCACAAAAAC